rnacentral:rRNA from 1 species
AUGUACAUCCCUACAACAUAGAAUUAAUGCACCAGAUCCCAUUAGAAUUCCAUAGUUAAGCGUGCUCCGGCUAGAGUAAUACUCAGAAGGGUGAUCUCCCAGAAAUUCCUAGUGUUUUACAGG